UCAGUUCCCUUCACUUAGUCAAAUGCGCUGCUUCUUGGAGAAAUUUAUGUCCUUAACACAUGAAAAGAAAGAGCAGCAGCGUUUCAUCCUCCAAGCCAGGCUCUACGUGAAGGCAUUUGUUACAAAGUCACAUACCACAACUACCACGGCAGAACUACCAAGAUCCUGAGUCAUCUACUCCAUGCCUCCCCACAAGCUGCUCUGCUUCUGAUCAAGAAUGCUGUCUGAGACAAGGCUUCUGAGUUACUGGUAAAGUAGAAUGCUGAGGUUUAAGGGAGCAGAGAUUUGAAAGAUACUGCCCUAUCCGAUGGAACAGUUCUUGGUUUUACUUUGAAAUGAAGUACCUAGAGUCUUUGGGUGGCCUAAAGGUGCCUCCACAGGAGCAAAUGGUAACAAACGAAUGAGUGAACACAAAAGACAUCAGUAAACAGCAGGAGCAGGUCAGGUGCAUGGCUUCACAUUAAGUAAAUUGUAGGUGAGUAAUUCAUACCUGCAUUCUAACUGUCCAUUUUUUCCAAAGGUACUUCUGCCAGACACUAGAUCACUACUGCAUUUAAAAAGUUCAAAGAGCACGUUCAGAUUUGAAACUAUAGGCCUCAUUUAUUUCUGCUUUCUCAGCUGGCAAACAUGAAAAGCUCCCAAGCAGUAAAAGAUGAAGAAAUAACUUACAGUGGAUGGAAAAUGUUAGGAAAGCACAGGCUAGACAAUUCUAUGAGUCACUUUUGAGAUAGCUAACGGGAUAGGGAUUCCAGGCCACUCAUUAAAGUGUGGGUUGAAUCGUUGCUUUAUUUUUCAAGAAUUUCCAUGGGAGGCACUUGGAGAGAAAAACAGGAGGUAGUCAUACUCAACUGCAGCCAGGAAAGGACCUUUGAGAGCAGCGAGAUGUUGGCACAAGCAGAAGAUACUCUACAGCACAGAUAGAGUUCCAGUCUUCCAUGAUUUUUAGAAGGCUUUAUGGCACUAUUUCAACAGUAAACUGCAGUAUUCAAAAGCUUACCUUAAGUGAAUAAAUGUUGCUUAUAAGUCACUUUUCAUUUUCUUCCAGGUUCAUAAAUAAAGCAUGGAGGUUGUCUAAAAUUUAAGUAUUAGAAGUGUCUAUUUCUUGCAAAGGAAAAAAAUUUCUAAAAUAGAAAAUAGUGUUAGAUUCACAAUUUUCUUUGUGAGAAGAAAUUAUUAGCUAUUAUUUCAAAAAUGAACUUUAAAAAGAAUGCUUACCUUUCAGACAUUAAAUUAGGAUAAUAUCAAGACAUUUAUUACUUACCUCAUGGGAAAAUAUGUUUUACACUCUCCAAACAAUCUUCCCAAAUUAGACAACUGUCGACUAUAUCUGGUGAGGACAAAUGGUACAAAGAAGACAUCACAAGUCCUGGUUCUUUCACACGCUAAAGUUGUAGCACCUCUAAGAAGAUGAGAAAAUAAUAGCAUCUAAUGCUGGGGAUUAUGUGAUAGAAACCUGCAAACAAUCCGUGUGUGUGCAGAACCAGCUACAGAAACAUUCUGGUCAACUUCGUAGACUUCAAGUUGACAUAAUCUACUCAUUUGGUCCCUUUACUUCAGACAAAUAUUUUACUUGAGUUUUGUCAAUUAAGCAACAAAAUCCACUAAUUUCAGUUUUCUUUUUUAAUUUUAAAUGUAUCUUUUACUUAAGAAUUUCUCAAAUGUUUCAAAGAUGUGAACAUAAGGUUAUAUUUUCACUCUUUUUGAACCCAAAUUAUUUAAUGAUUUCCAACACAGGAUAUAACAUACCCCAAGAGACAGAUCAAGAACAGAUCAACAAAACAUCAGUGUAGGGAGAAAGAUCAGAAAGGAAAGCAUGCCCCCUGCUGUUUAUGGAGUGACACUGGCCAACAGUACUUUGUCUGAAUGCGUGAGUCUGGAACAUACAAGAGGAUGAAUGCUUUCCCUGAGUCCCUACAUCCUACUUGCAGCAUGUGGCAACAUGCCUGUGACCAAAAGUACAUAACGAAUUAGUACAGACAGCUCUAGCUUCUGUCUUCCUCUGCACAUUACAGAGGUUUGAACUUGUGUGUCUUGUAUUUGAUCUCUGAAGCAUCUGGAUGAUAUGUGUCCAUAAAUAUGAUUGUGCAAUUAUUAAAGAGUUUUGCAUGCUCUAUUUGGCCAGCAGUGAUGGUUGCCUGGUGACAGAGCAAAAAUAAUCAUCUGGCCGGGCGGUGGUGGCGCACGCCUUUAAUCCCAGCACUCGGGAGGCAGAGGCAGGCGGAUCUCUGUGAGUUCCAGGCCAGCCUGGGCUACCAAGUGAGUCCCAGGAAAGGCGCAAAGCUACACAGAGAAACCCUGUCUCGAAAAACCAAAAAAAUAUAUAAAUAAAUAAAUAAAAUAAUCAUCUGAAGAAAUUUCUUCAUUACUUCUGUCUUUUGCCUAAAAGAGAAACAAGUGUAAAUGGCACUCGGCCUUGUGAGAAGACAAGCACUUAUAAUAAAUUGCCUAUUGAUGGUUUCAUAGACUUCUGAAAAGUUCACACUAUUCAACAAAUAUUUUACAAUAAUUGGCAAGUGAAUUUUACACACGCCUGUUGAUCUAGGGCACAGGUGUGAUUGGGGCUCUUGAUUUACAUCACCUGCUACAGAUCUUAUCAGUGUGAAGCCUGGACUAUCUGCUCAGUUUUCAUGUCUGCUCUUCCUCAUCCACAAAUUAGGAUCACACUUACAGUUACCUAACUAGGCUGCAUAAGAUUUAAUAUAGAAAUAAUGGCAUUUAAUACAAGUGAUUAAAAGUAUAAAUACUAUAUAUUAUUAUUAUUUCUUUAAAAUUUGUUACAAUGACUUUUGAGGAACGAAGUUCUCAUAAUGAAAUAUUUUAAAAUAUAUUAGAGUGUCCAGUAACAAUUAAGAAAUAAAUAUCUGGGUCUGAAGAGGUGGCUCUGAGGUUAAGAGCACUUGCUGCUCUUCCAGAGAACAGGGGAUGGAUUUCCAGUUCUUUCAUGGCAGCUCACGCCAUCUGUAAAUCCAAUUCCACGGUAUCUGAUGCCCUCUUCUGGCUUCUAUUGACACUACACACAUGUGGUGCACAACUAUACAUCCAGGCAAAACACCCACUAUAUAAAAUAAAGAUAAAUCUUUUAAAAAGAGAUAUUUUCAAAAUAGAAAAAAAAGAUAUAAGUAGCUGUUUGUAGAAAACAGCACAACUCAGCCAACAUAUACAAAAGUAUGUUUUUUAAGUACCUGGACAAGGCAAACUUUACUCUUGAUCAAGAUGGUACACUUGAAAGUGAGAUCGGAGAGGCAGGAAGUGCAUUUGGUUUUAUUCUAACUUUAGCUGUGUUUUUGCCUCAUUAGCUAUGGUCCAAAUGCACAGUCUUCUUCAACUGGCUAGUCUGAAAAUAAUUGGAGCACAGAAAGUGAAGGAGGAAAGGGAAGGGGAACAUAGUUCCAAGGAGAAAAGGGUCACUGCUCACGUCAUCAAACUCCUAGAAUAGAGCCAUGAGUUUUUUUGUAAACAAAGGUUUUACUGGGUGGGGGGUUAAAAUAUUUUCAUGCAAAUGUUGCAAGGUGGAGGGAGAUAAAAAGAUUUUAAUUCCUUGUCCUAUACACAUGUUUUAUAGUAUUUGAUAGAAAAAAAAUUAUAUUUGAUAUUUCUCACAAACAUCUCUUUUAAAAAAAACACUCUUUCAAGUUCAUUAAGGUAUUGGCCCUCUUUUUCUGUUCUGUCUUGGAGUAAGAAGCUGCAAUAGGAAAGGAUUACCCUUCAGUAAUAGUUGACUCAAUUAUCCUGAGAUAGGCCCCCAAUACAAAGAAUUAAUUAGUCCAUCUAUUUCGUUAGCACAGCUUAAGGUGAUCCCAACUUCCUAGGAAUGGUUCCUUGGCCAGGAGAGUGAUCAGACUCCAUUGGAAUGUUAAGACUGUGCCCAGGCCAGAGAUUCCAUUUUCUUGACCCAGAGGCAUUUUCUCUUCAAAGGCCUUUGUUGCUACUUUAACAUUCCACCUACCUAAAAACCCUGAUCACUUAGGAACUAGAUGAGAUAUCAGGCUUCCUAAAACACUUUUAGCAUCUUUAGCCUUUGGCAGGGAUGAAACUGUUAGGAAUCCCAAGGACAUAUCUAGCUUUUAGACGAGAACGAAACUGGUUACUUUUCUUUGGGGGUCUUUGUAGCAUAAGCUGCCUAGCCAGGUUCUACCUCAUCCCCUCUCCCUUAUCAUCCCUCAUUCCUUUGAAGAGACAAUCCUGUCAUUAUGAGAUUGGGGCAAUGAUCCCCUGGCUUCUCCUAGGUGAAUGUAGAAUGCCGGGUGUGGUAGUAUUGCAGUACCCCUCCAAAGGGCCUGUCAGAUGUAUGAAGGAAAUGAAGCCUUUGUCUGGAGAGGAUUUUAAAAUGUCCAAAUCAAACUCCAUUAGAAUUUCUUGAUGGCAUCCCAAGAGCCUCCAUCUUUUGGAGUCUUUGUUUUCCUUUGACCUCUAAGGUUGACCUCCAGAGUGAUGAAUCUGUUAGAUCCAAAGAGGUCUCCCAAAUGGCAGUACUAAUGACAAAAACAGAAUUAUAAGGUGGGUUUCUGUUUAUCAGACACCUUAACUCACCCCUGAAGGUCAACUACCUCAGACAAGUGCAUCUAGUUCCUGGUUAAUUCAAACAGCCUGUGUCAGCCCAAAGACCCGCACUCUGCUGUCUAUCAUAUAAAAUCUUCUGCCCCACUAGAGAUAGGCUUGCUGGUUUGAUUCCCAAUAAGCCUUUCUUUCUACCCAUGGAGUGGUCCAAUUUGGUGAUGUCACUGUGCCCUCACUUACAGAGCCAACAGUCUGCUUUUGUGCCUUUUAAUAGCUAUUGCAUCAGCAAAAAGUCAGCAUAAUGCCCUUCUCAUUUGGCUUCUAGAUGGGGAAAGAAGUGUUUAUCCAUCAUUCAGUUCUUAGGUUAAAACAAUAGUGGACUUGUCUCCCUUGGCUGUGGGAAGGUGCUACAGUGAGCCAAGAUCAGAAGUCUUGCACCUGGGCAACUUCUUUUUAUCAGGAAGAAAAUCUUAGUGAGAUAUAGUUGUCUAAAUAACAUCUCAUGUAGACUUACAUCUAAUGUGAAGGGAGUUCAAUCCCUUGUACUGUUACCAAUCCUCUUAGGUCUUGUUUAUACGUUCCUGAUAGACGUUUAAGACUGCAAUGGCCAGGAUUAACUUUUAUUUUUGUACUGUCAAGGUCAGUUAAGGAUCUGGUCCUCAGGGAUCCCUCAGCCUUGAGAGUAACCUUAAUAUUUCCUAGGGACAAACUAGAGAGGAGUUUGAGGUUAUCCAUCAGUGUCAGGAUAACUUAGCGUGACUGAAGCUUCCCAUGGAAGUGCUCAGGAACUCUUUCCUCUUCAUUGACUUUCCAUUAUUAAAGAAGAUUUUUGAGAAAUGAGCCACAGUCCCCUGGGACCUCAUUGACCUUGGAGGUCUGGGGAAAAAUAGUCUUUCUUUCAAUUUUUCUGACCACAUUAAAAUAGCCUCCAAAUGUGAUUAUCAAAUACCUAGAUCAGUCACACAAGUCUGGUUCUUAUAAUUAUUUCAUAAUAUUUUAAUAACCAGAAAUAUCUAAAUCAACUUUGAUUAGACAUACAUUUUAGCCAAUCCUUGUAAUUGGUAUCUUUGUCCUUACAAACUUUAAUAUCAUAGGCAUCAUCUCUAAGAUUCAUCCUCUAUGUACCUUAUAUAAUUUCCUCCAAACUUCACAGCUUGCAAAAGCUUUCUAGUCUUUUCUGUUUGGAAAAUAUCUAGCCCUCUUAAUCUUCAACCAAAGUUCAGUCUCACCAAAGAUCCCCCUGGGGAAACAAUGCAUGUAUUGGGUUCACUCACUGAGUGUAGGUACAGGGUUACUGACAGGGAUGUGGGUAUUCCCAAAGCAGCCAAACCUGGAAGCCUCCACACAAGCUAUAGCUUUCCCAUAGCAGCAUAAGUGAUCUUUCUCAGCCUACACACACUAUCUCCCAUGCCAAACCACAAGGCCACAUUGAUUAGGGCCCAAUGCAUACAAAUGGCUGGAAGAGAAGCUAGAUAUUCAGAAUGAAAAUCCAAUAACCCUCUUUACCCACUCCUUCUAUGAAAGAAUAGGAACAGUCAACAAACCCAGUGGUGGUCAUCUUUUGUAAGCAAACAAGGCUGGUCUUAGGAAGAUAGCAGUUGUUUGGCUUAGAAUAGUGCAGCACAAUACCACUUCAAUAAUAAUAAUAAUAACCUGAAUAUAGGAAACUGCAUACAUAAAAUAAUCCAGUAAAUUAAUAUUUCCUAGGGACAUACUUGUGGUGGUAUUGUGUUCCCCAAAAUAUUGUACACCCUAAUAAACUUAUCUGGGGUCAGAGACAGAACAGCCAAUAGAUAAAAAGGCUAGAAAAUGGUGGCACUCACACCUUUAAUCCUAGCAUUCCAGAGGCAGAAAUCCAUGUGUUCAAGGAUACAGCCAAGCAUGGUGACUCACGCCUUUAAUCCCAGAAAGCGAGCCUUUAAUCCCAGGGAGUGAUGGUAGAAGGCAGAAAGAUAUAUAAGGUGUGAGGACCAGAAACUAGAAGCAUUUGGCUGGUUAAGCUUUAGGCUUUCGAGCAACAGUUCAGCUGAGAGCCAUUUGGAUGAAGACUCAGAAGUUUCCAGUCUGAGGAAACAAGACCAGCCGAGAAGUUGGCCAGGUGAGGUUAGCUGUGGCUUGUUCUGUCUCUCUGAUCUUCCAGUGUUCACCCCAAUACUUGGCCCCAGGUUUGUUUUAUUAAUAAGACUCUUUAGAUUCAUGCUGCACAUACUAUUAAGCUAAAUCUUAUUUUAAAAAAAAUGCCACAAGGCAGUUUUUAUAUAGACCAUGGAGUCACUACCCAUAACCUUGUAUUAGGUUUUGAAUGAGUAUAUGUAGAAGACAUAAAGCAGUAGAAAUGUAUAGCAAAACAUCACCAAAUUGAUGCUUGCAACAUCCGGUAAAACUAGGCUAAGAAAUCUGUUAAAACUAUGAUGCUGGAGUUACUAUAGAGAGAUCUUUAAGCAGAGGGUCUGCUCUAGCCUUUCCAUGGAUGAGCAUCCCAUUAGAUGUUUUUACUACAGGCAUCUUUAUCUCAUGAAAUAAAUAUCAAUAUACACAACAAGUGCUGUUUCUUUAUAAAGCUGCAUCCAUGGAUUUACAUUCAACAACAGACUGGAUGCUGAAUCCAGUGACAGCUAGCAGGACCAAACGCACCAAUCUUCCUCAGUUCCUUAUAACCCUUACAAAUUUGUUUACAUCACUCAUCAUCUUUUGGGUUGUGCACUGAGAACAGGGAUUAACAGACCGAAUAUAUGAGUUAGAGUACCUCACCAAACAGAACAUUUGAAUCUGAAGAGUCACCUUCUGAUGUCUUCACCAAAAAUGAGUGGCAGUCAGUACGCAUGAUAAAGGAGGACCAAGCCAACAGAAGUAUCUGUCUUCACAAAUAUCCAUACCGAGACCCUUCCUAGCUAGACUUGGGGUGACCAAUACCCACAAUCUAUUUAAGUACAUCUGUAAACAGAGGCAGGCAACCUGAAAAACUUAGUAAGUACCCUCCCUCCUACAAAGACAUCAAGUUGUAGGACAAUACAAUAUUUUUUUUCUAUAAAGACCACUCUUUAUCCUCUAGUUCAUAUUCAGGCCAGGACUGUGUACAGGAAAGCCUUAGACAUUCCUUCCUUAAGGUUCCUGGAUGAAGAGAACCCAAUGGGUGAAGAUACAGUGAGAGAGUCUUCACUGAUAGCCACCCAUCUGUAUGACAAAACUUUAUUGAAAGAUAUUCCACAUCCUUGUCUCCUUCUCCAGAAUGUCCACUGGAGUUCCUAGUUCUUAUUCCUUUUCUCAUGGGUAAACAUGAGAAAUGGAGAUCUAUCUGGUAAGUUACUUUACUAUUUAUAUAAAUAAUGUAUCUGCAUGGCCCUACCGCAGCCAGAAUCUAUGCUGAUAUCCAGGAUUCCUGCUACCACUGAAGGCUGAGCAGAUGCUCAGGGUCUGGGCUGCCUCCUGGGGACAUGUUGGUGUUUGAAGGCCAUGCUGCCACUGGGGCCAUGCCAAUCUAGGUGACCUGCGAUACCAGCUAGAGCCAUAAUGACAUUUGAGCCCAAGCUGCUGCCAAGGACCAUGUCUGGGUCCACGGUCCUACCACAGCCUAGGUCUGUGUUGAUGUCCAUGGCCAAUGUUGCCACCAAAGACUACACGGAUGCCCAGGAUCUAGUUCACCAACUAGGCCAUGUUGUUGCCUGAGGGCCAUGCCACUGCCAGGGACAUACAGACCUGAAUGGCAUGUACUGCCACUCAGUGCCAUGGCAUCAUAUGAGCCUGAGCUAUGGCAGGGGCCAUGUCUGGGUCCAUGGUCCCAUUAUGAUGUCAGAGGCUCCUGUCAUCAUCAAGGGCCAUGCAGAUGCUCAGGAUCUGGGCCACCACCUGGGGCCAUGCUGGUGUUCGAGGGCCAUGUUACCACUGGGUUCAUGCCAAUCUGAGUGACCUGCAACCACCAACUGGGGCCAUGGUGACAUCCAGGCUGCUGACAAGGACCAUGUGUGGGUCUGUGGUCCAACCACAGCUGGGAUCUGUGUUGAUAUCCAUAGUCCAUGUUGCCACCAAGGGCCACAUGAAUGUCCAGGGUCUGAGCCACCACCUAGGGUCAUGUUAGUGUCUAAGGGCCAUGCUGUUGCUGGGGCCAUAUAGAUCUGAGUGGCCUGUGCUGCCAUCCAGGGCCAUAGUGUUCUACAGUCCCAGGCUGCUACCAAGGGCCAUAUCUAGGUCUGUUACUCUGCUGCAGUCGUGGUCCGUGUUGAUGUCCCUGGCUCCUGUUAUCACCAAAGACAGUGAGGAUAGGGCUGCACAGAGUUGGCCCCACCCCUCACUGGCUGCAGUGCUAGGGAGAACUGGCCCUGACCCUCACCAGCUGCAGCACUCAGGAGAGCUGCCGAGGGCCGUGGGAGUAUACAGCAGAUGACAGCUAGUGUUCCACAGCAGAUGUGCAACUCCCUGAUGAGGAGCCCCACCUGGCAAAGCCGUGGGGUCACUGGCUGUGGAAAUCGCUUGUUUUCUGCCUGUAACCUUCUCAGGUGCCACUGCUAUGCCUCCCUAAUAAGAGCAGCUGUGGGGUGCUUUCCACUGCUCUUUGGUAGUGUGUUUUACAUCUCUGGGCACACAUAUAGUUAUGGAUGUUCAGGAAGAUGAUUUCUGUUUAAGCUAUAUAAUUCUGAUGUAUAAAAAUAGUACCAGAAUAUUCUUUACUGACACAGGAAAGUAACAGUAUUCUCAGUCUCAAAGACAGCAUUUUACACUUUUUGCAAAGACCUUAGAACUAGUCCAAAACAGACUAAGCUGCCCCUGCAAAAUAUACACAAAGACUAAUCCCCAGGUCUUGUCUAUUGCUAAAUCAAGGCCAGGCUGUUUACAUCAAGACAUAGUCCUUGCAGUAACUCCCUUUCUGCACCUACCGUGACCACUCAAGGUUCAGCCAAUUGUUUAAUGUCUGGGACCCCUCACCAACUUAGAGCUACAUGCAUGGGUCAGUGUGACUUACUAGCCUGAGAGAAACUACAUGACUUAUCCUGUGUUUUGAGAAUGGGUAGGGCUCUGAAAAUGUAACUUACAAUUGUCCAGAUUUUGGCUGUGGAACAGAGCAGGAGCGAUGUAGAGAGAGGGGAUGAUGAGGAGCAGCAAAGGAGAGCAGGGCAGCAGAGGUGCAGAGAGAGAGAGAGAGCAGAGGAAGGAUGUAGAGAGAGAGAUGUGGAGGCAGUGAAAGGGAAUUAGAGAAGCUGUUGAGUAGAGAAUGAGAAGGGAUGAAGAGCUAAUUAGGAAACUGUGAAGAGAGAUUUUUUUCAAAGAGAUUUUUCAAGAUGAAGUAAGGAGAAGGUUACUAUCAGAAAGCAUCUGUAUUUCUUUAUUUUUCCCCUCAGAUAGAAAAGGUCUAGCCCUCAGGUAAGACUUUUUCCUAAACCCUCGCUACUCUGAGGUCUUCUUUUUGCUACUCCAGAGCAGACUGGGAGCUGGUCUCUCGGUCUGUGAUAGAGGACAGGCCCUCACCUCAUCUGGGCAGCACAGUAGAGCUGACCCUGUUGGCAGAAGCACAGGUGAGCUGGCCCUGAGGUCGGGAGAGCAGGAGAACUGGCCCUGCUCCUUGCUGGCUGCUUCACUGGGUGAGCUAGCUGGGGCAGUGGUGACGAUGAGGGAAAGCUGGCAGGCUGACCACCCCAGCUACCACCCAGCCCCAGAACCAGGGCUAUAAAUUAGCCCACCCCAGCAUCCACCUUAUCUGUAAGCUGCUGGAGCAUGUGAAGGGGCCAGACCUGCAGAUCCAAAACUGUAGGAUCUCGACGACACAGGACAACAACAGGAUAGUCAAGAAGAGCUCCAGUGAGGGCCCAGUAUCAAUAGUGCAGCAGAAGCCAGAGGCCUCGUACCAAACCAAUGGCUCAUUGCCAUAAACACAAGUAAAGAUGUAUAGACUAAAGGGAAUACUGUGUGAUACACUGGCCCACACUUCAGCUCCAUGGGAAGAUUUUGUUGUUGUUUUUGUUUUUCUUUUAAAUUUUAUUUUGGGAGGAAGGUUGCAAAGGCAGAGGAUGGAUACAUAUGGGAAGUGAGGGGGAUCAGGAUGCAUGACAUGAAAUCUACAAAGAAUCAAUAAAAAGUUUUUAAAAAAAUAAAUAAUAUAUCUGAUAUAAAUAGAAUACCUAAUGAAGAAUGGCCUGAAUAUCUGUAUUGGAUCAUGAGAAGGACAAUCUGUUUGGAUUCCCCGCUCCUAAAGACGUGACUCUUUUAAUACUUGGGAACUUACUGAAUUAUCUCUGUAUUUUAUCUGGCUAAUUUUAACGUGUUUGUGCUGGAUCUUCAUCCAUCAAAACUCCUGGAAUACAUAUAUUGAACCCCAUAUGCCAAAGAAAUCAGUAAACUUUGAAUGACCCUAAGUUAGGUGGAGGUUGGCUCCUUUGUGGGUUAAACUCUCAAUAUUUCCUUUAAACAUUCCCUUUGACCCUUUCUUUCAAAGGUAUAAACUAUUGAUCUCUAUUACUUUUUUUGAUCUAGAUAGGAGGCAAGCAGUAAUGGUAAAGUCUCCUUUUUAAAGUUAAUUUUCUGAUAGAAUCCCUCUUCUCUCCUUUGACUGGACUCCUGGAGCUAUGCCUGGUAUUUCACUGUGGAUCUCUGCAUCUGCCUCCAUCAAUCACUGGAGAAAAGCUCUGUGAUGACAGUUCGGGUACUCACCGAUCUGGUCACUGGGUCCACUCCUCCUCUGCUGGAUGGAAGCAUAGACCCACUGUUUCACAGAGACAGCGAUGAGCAUGGUUCCCCUAGAGCUGGCGGUAAACGUAGUUCCGCCAUGUUGGAAAGCUGAGAAGAUAAAAACCAAUGGAUUUCUUCCAGGCUAAUAUGGUUUGAUCAAGGAAGAUCCACUGACAGGCCCAGAUGAUCCAACAUCCAAACAGCUUCAAGGCAACUGGCUCAAAAAAUACAAUAUCACAGACUAUUCUAGUCAGGACUUGACCACAAUUCUUAAUUUUCUCAGGAUCCCCAUAAGAAUACAGUGCCCUUUAUCAGCAAGAAGUAGUCUAGAAAACUAUGCCCACAUUCCCAAAAAAAUGCAUUAUGGAUGUUUGUCUUUGUUUAGGUUGUUGGUUACAAAUUGUUAUUGGUCAUAGUCAAUAUCCUUCUAAAAGAAGAAAGGAGGAUAUAUAGGAAAUAUAGGAUAUAGAUAUGCUAGGAUGUAAGGGUGGAUUGUUGAACCUCCUUUUAAAGAACAACUUAUUUAAAAUGUUUUACAUUGGUAUAGAUUUUAGUUUAUUGAUACAAAUUUAAAGUUAAUUUUGUAUUACUUUAUGUAUAUUUCUACUCUUGUUUAAGGUAUUAUGUUUGUGUAACUCAUUUAAAUUGUAAUGAACAACUGAAAAAUACAGAAUAAUAAUUAGUCUUCUAUGAUAGUCAAACUCAUAGUCAUGUUAAGUUUUCUAGGUAUACAUAGAUAUAAUUCAAUUAGGUAGAUAAUCUUCAAACACUUCAAAGACCUACAGAAUAUGGCAUUUAAAAUGUUUUAAAAACUUAGGCUUUCCUGGAAAAUGAGACACAUCUGCUCGUGGCAGCACCAAUUUACUUCAGAGAGAAAUAUGGACAUCAAAGAUACUUCAUAUAGCGUUUAUCUUCUUCUUGGAAAAAUAGCCAUUUGGGCAAGAAACUGUUCUUGCCUGGACUGCUUGACAAAAUGUUGUAUCAACUGGAUAUGCAGGACCCAUAGGAAGGUGACCACUGAACUUUGCAAGGCAAAAUGGUCCUUCAGGUUCCUGCUUCACAGAAGAAACUGCCAGAUAUUCUACAGGACACAGAAAGAAGUGACUGAGAGACUCUAGACCUACAGGCUGAAGAUGGAUGCCCCAAUGUUACAGAGGAACUUUGAAUGACUGUCCAGGCAGCUGUUUCUGUCAUUCCAGAUUUUUGGAUGUUGCUUACAAUGUUCUUCCUGUUUACUUAGGUAAUAUUAUAUCCUUCUGUGGUCUUUGAUGUAGUUGAAGACUAGAUAGUUAUAAUUUUCCUUGGUUAUGAUAAAAGAUAAAUUAGAUAUGAAACUUUAGACUCACAAAUAUAGGAUAGAUAGAAUAUUUUCUUUAAUUUUGCCAAAUACAAAUAGACUAGAUAUUGUAACUGUAAUUCUUGCUUGAUAACUGUUCUAUUAUAUGUAAUUUUACCAUGUUAAAAUUAAAACCUCCCUUUUUGUUUAGACAGAAAAGGGGAAAUGCCAUAGGAUAAUACUUUUGUACAUUUGUUUAAUGAAAUGCUGAUUUGGCCAGUAGCCAGGCAGGAAGUAUAGGCAGGGAGAGCCGACUAAAGGAAUGCUGGGAAAGGAAAAGGCAGAGUCAGGAGUCCUCAUCCAGACACAGAGGAGGCAAGAUGACAAGGAAGAACUAAGAAAAGGUACCAAGCCACAUGGCUAAAUAUAGAUAAGAAUUAUGGAUUAAUUUAAGUACAAGAGUGAGUCAGUAAUAAGCAUGAGCUAAUGGCCGAGCAGUUAUAAAUAAUAUUAAGCCUCUGUGUGAUUAUUUUAUAAAAGUCUGCUGAACUGUGAGUGAGAGAUUUGUCCUGACCACAAGCCAGACGGGACACAGGAAAACAUUCAGCUACAUUUGACUUUGUUCACUUGAGUAUAGCCUUCUCUUUUAUGAAGUUUAAAGAAAGUUAAAUGCCCUGGCAGAUAUCUUUAUGCUCACUCAGAAAGAAAAAAUUGAGAGGUUUAAAUUUCACUGCUGUCUCAGGUUCUGUGACUGACUCUGUAAUCUUAGCUGCACACUGGCAGGAAAUAGAAAGUCUGUUUUGUGCAUUUUGCUACACAUGCUCUUUUAACAAAUAUUUAUCUAUAAGGGCUUAAGAAUAAAUGACAAAAUCCAUGUAAUUGUAAAAUUCAUUUUUGCUUUACAAUUUUUCUUACUUAUAUUUGAAAUUAAUUGUAUGAUUCCUGAACUCAUUCCCACAACUUUAUUAGGACAUUAAAUUAAAUUUCCACAUGAUUUUAAUAAAAAAUGCUUUCUUUCAGAAUAGAGUUUAUCUUGUGUCAGAAGUACUUCUGACAUAUCACACAAUGUGUUGGUUAGCCACACUCUCAAAGAAACUCUAGGGAAAAUAUGACUCACUAUAUGGGCAAGGUCAUUUCUUUUUAUAAGAACAUUUUUUUAAUCUGAGUAAAUUUUGCUUUAAUUAUGUAGCACUGAAAUUUUUCUGUUGAAUUUUUUCCCUCUGGAGAAUUAAGCUUCUUGAUUUAAAAGAAAAGUUUGUUGUGUAGCUAUUUCCUCCUAAUUGAAAUAUUCCCGCCUGGAGUGAAAGGGUGGCUUAUAAGACUUGGGUAGCUAAUGAAACUCAGUGAACUCAGAAAAUUCUGGAAAGGUACAGGAUUCACAGGAUGCAUAUGCAGGGUUAUCUAAGCAGUAAACAACUGUCCGGGAGAAAAGAGAUGGCUGCUGGGGCCAUCUACAAGUUAUACAAAGAUGUGGCAUUCAUGAUUUCUCACUCAUGAUAAGACAAGGAGAUAAAGCUGCAUUUCAGUCACAAAUGCACUCUGUAAGCAACCUCUCACCAAUACCCCUGUAAAAUAACUGCA